rnacentral:rRNA from 1 species
GCUUUCCCUCCAGAGUGGAUCCUGAGUACGGCGGAACACGUGAAAUUCCGUCGGAAUCCGGGAGGACCAUCUCCCAAGGCUAAAUACUCCCUAGUGACCGAUAGUGAACCAGUACCGUGAGGGAAAGGUGAAAAGCACCCCGGAAGGGGAGUGAAACAGUUCCUGAAACCGUGUGCCUACAAGUAGUUAGAGCCCGUUAAUGGGUGAUAGCGUGCCUUUUGUAGAAUGAACCGGCGAGUUACGAUUUGUUGCAAGGUUAAGCGGAAAAAGCGGAGCCGUAGCGAAAGCGAGUCUGAAUAGGGCGCAUAAGUAACAGGUCGUAGACCCGAAACCAGGUGAUCUACCCAUGUCCAGGAUGAAGGUAAGGUAAUACUUACUGGAGGUCCGAACCCACGCACGUUGAAAAGUGCGGGGAUGAGGUGUGGGUAGCGGAGAAAUUCCAAUCGAACUUGGAGAUAGCUGGUUCUCUCCGAAAUAGCUUUAGGGCUAGCCUCGAGGUAAAGAGUCAUGGAGGUAGAGCACUGUUUGGACUAGGGGCCCUUCUCGGGUUACCGAAUUCAGAUAAACUCCGAAUGCCAUGUACUUAUACUCGGGAGUCAGACUGCGAGUGAUAAGAUCCGUAGUCGAAAGGGAAACAGCCCAGACCACCAGUUAAGGUCCCCAAAUAUAUGUUAAGUGGAAAAGGAUGUGGGGUUGCUUAGACAACCAGGAUGUUGGCUUAGAAGCAGCCACCAUUGAAAGAGUGCGUAAUAGCUCACUGGUCGAGUGACCCCGCGCCGAAAAUGUACCGGGGCUAAACAUAUUACCGAAACUGUGGAUGAACCUCUUUAGAGGUUCGUGGUAGGAGAGCGUUCUAAGGGCGGUGAAGUCAGACCGGAAGGACUGGUGGAGCGCUUAGAAGUGAGAAUGCCGGUAUGAGUAGCGAAAGAAGGGUGAGAAUCCCUUCCACCGAAUAUCUAAGGUUUCCUGAGGAAGGCUCGUCCGCUCAGGGUUAGUCGGGACCUAAGCCGAGGCCGAUAGGCGUAGGCGAUGGACAACAGGUAGAGAUUCCUGUACCAGUGCUAAUUGUUUAACCGAUGGGGUGACACAGAAGGAUAGGGAAUCGCACGAAUGGAAAUGUGCGUCCAAGCAGUGAGUGUGAGAAGUAGGCAAAUCCGCUUCUCGCGAAGCAUGAGCUGUGAUGGGGAAGGAAAUUAAGUACGGAAGUUCCUGAUUUCACGCUGUCAAGAAAAGCCUCUAGGAAGAGUAGUACUGCCCGUACCGCAAACCGACACAGGUAGAUGAGGAGAGAAUCCUAAGGUGAGCGAGAGAACUCUCGUUAAGGAACUCGGCAAAAUGACCCCGUAACUUCGGGAGAAGGGGUGCUCUAUUAGGGUGCAAGCCCGAGAGAGCCGCAGUGAAUAGGCCCAGGCGACUGUUUAGCAAAAACACAGGUCUCUGCAAAACCGUAAGGUGACGUAUAGGGGCUGACGCCUGCCCGGUGCUGGAAGGUUAAGAGGAGUGCUUAGCUUCGGCGAAGGUACGAAUUGAAGCCCCAGUAAACGGCGGCCGUAACUAUAACGGUCCUAAGGUAGCGAAAUUCCUUGUCGGGUAAGUUCCGACCCGCACGAAAGGCGCAACGAUCUGGGCACUGUCUCAACGAGAGACUCGGUGAAAUUAUAGUACCUGUGAAGAUGCAGGUUACCCGCGACAGGACGGAAAGACCCCGUGGAGCUUUACUGCAACCUGAUAUGGAAUGUUUGUACCGCUUGUACAGGAUAGGUAGGAGCCGAAGAGACGUGUGCGCUAGCAUACGAGGAGGCAAUGGUGGGAUACUACCCUGGCUGUAUGACCAUUCUAACCCGCCACGCUUAGCGCGUGGGGAGACAGUGUCAGGUGGGCAGUUUGACUGGGGCGGUCGCCUCCUAAAGAGUAACGGAGGCGCCCAAAGGUUCCCUCAGAAUGGAUGGAAAUCAUUCGCAGAGUGUAAAGGCACAAGGGAGCUUGACUGCGAGACUGACAAGUCGAGCAGGGACGAAAGUCGGGCUUAGUGAUCCGGUGGUUCCGCAUGGAAGGGCCAUCGCUCAACGGAUAAAAGCUACCCCGGGGAUAACAGGCUUAUCUCCCCCAAGAGUCCACAUCGACGGGGAGGUUUGGCACCUCGAUGUCGGCUCGUCGCAUCCUGGGGCUGUAGUCGGUCCCAAGGGUUGGGCUGUUCGCCCAUUAAAGCGGCACGCGAGCUGGGUUCAGAACGUCGUGAGACAGUUCGGUCCCUAUCCGUCGCGGGCGCAGGAAAUUUGAGAGGAGCUGUCCUUAGUACGAGAGGACCGGGAUGGACACACCGCUGGUGUACCAGUUGUUCCGCCAGGAGCAUCGCUGGGUAGCUAUGUGUGGCAGGGAUAAACGCUGAAAGCAUCUAAGCGUGAAGCCCCCCUCAAGAUGAGAUUUCCCAUUUCUUCGGAAAGUAAGAUCCCUGAAAGAUGAUCAGGUAGAUAGGUUUGGAGUGGAAGUGUAGCGAUACAUGGAGCGGACAAAUACUAAUCGAUCGAGGACUUAACC